GCGUACAACACAGAAGCCAGGAGAGCUCCCUAAAACCCAAACCCUAAUCUACAAAUUCUUCAAAUUGAGAAGCCAAAUCAAGUUCAAAUCAAAAACCAAGCACAAACUAGUGAUCACUCAAGUGAGGGGAUCACAAGGCAAAAGAAUUGAAUCUUUAAGCGGGCGAGCCGGAGUUGAUACACGCUUGAAGGAAAAGCACUAAAGUUAAAGAAAUGUCUGCAGUAACCAGAGAUGAUUCGGCAUCUCAGUUGACUGAGCAAAUGAAAGCUAAGAUUUCCGAGGCAGUCGGAAAAGCUCUGGAAAAUAGUCUAUCACAUUAUAUUGAUAGAUUACAAACCACAAUCGUACCGGUGGUGGAUGGUAUGAUGGCUGAAUUGAAAGACAUCAUAUUACAAGAAAUAGAAGAGAGGAGGGUAUUGGAUAUGAAUCCAAGUUCCGUAAAGAAGUCCAAGUCUAAUAAAGCUCCCAAGAGAGGAGUUACAAAAACUGUGUUACAUCAGUGCAAAUUUUGCGGAAAAAUUCACAAGGGCACGUGUGGUAAGCCAAGACACAAGAAGUCUAAACGGUCAGAAAGGCUUGGAACCAAAGACGCAACUGACACAAUGUCUGAUGCCCAGAAGUCAAGGACAAGGUCGUUUUAUAUAACAGCCGCAGAGGCUAAAACUGAACCCGAUAUCAUUUCAGGCAAAAGAAUUGAAUCUUUAAGCGGGCGAGCCGGAGUUGAUACACGCUUGAAGGAAAAGCACUAAAGUUUUUAGGUAUCCAAGGACUACGGAUGAUGGUCAAGCUAGCUUUUGAAGAACCGAACACAAACUUUUAAAGCUUCCGCGUAAAUUAACUCUGUUUAAACAAUGUUGUGAUGUAAACCGUUUGUUAAACAACUUAUGGAUGUUUUAAUUAGUUGGUAGACAACUAUGUUUG